AUUGAACGCUGGCGGCAGGCCUAACACAUGCAAGUCGAACGAGUGGCGGACGGGUGAGUAAUGUCUGGGAAACUGCCUGAUAGAGGGGGAUAACUACUGGAAACGGUAGCUAAUACCGCAUACCAUCAGCUGUGCCCAGAGGGGAUGAGCUUGAUGGUGGGGUAACGGCGCACCAAGGCUACGAUCCCUAGCUGGUCUGAGAGGAUGACCAGCCACACUGGAACUGAGACAUGGUGCAAACUCCUACGGGAGGCAGCAGUGGGUAAGAUUGCACAAUGGGCGCAAGCCUGAUGCAGCCAUGCCGAGUGUAUGAAGAAGGCCUUCGGGUUGUAAAGUCCUUUCAGCGGGGAGGCGUUACCCGCAGAAGAAGCACCGGCUAACUCCGUGCCAGCCGCCGCGGUAAUUC
rnacentral:rRNA from 1 species